UUCCUGAUGGUCUAGUGAUUAGGAUUCAGCGCUUUCACUGCUGCAGCCCAGGUUCAAUCCCUGGUCUGGGAA
rnacentral:tRNA from 1 species